GGCCGGCUGGCCCAAUGGCAAGGCGUCUGACUUCGAAUCAGAAGAUUGCAGGUUCGACCCCUGCGUCGGUCA
rnacentral:tRNA from 1 species